UUGGAAUCAUAUAGUAUAUGGCCUCUUCCGACUGACUUCUUUCACUCAGAAAUAUGCAUUUAGGGUUCUUCCAUGGAUUUUCAUGACUUCACAGCCGUCUUUGAAGUUUACCAACUUUAUAUAUACACGCUGCCCUGCUUUGUCCCUGGGUUCUGUGAGUUUCGAAGAGGUCGUUUAAGGAGUCAGCUGGGUUGGCCUACAAGUUUUUCUUCUUUUUCUGUUUGGAAAAGCAACAGUGCAUACCACCAGCACGGGAUUCCUGGCUCAAUAUCACCAGCUCGGGAUUCCUGGCCCACAGGCCUUGAGCAUGAGACGACUGUGGUUCUGAGGCUGAAUAUCGUAACCUCUCGAUUUGGAGAAGGAUUGAGGCUGAAUAUCGUAACCUCUCGAUUUGGAGAAGGAUGCGGGAGAAGUGAUCACGGCCUUGGCUCUCCCCAACCUUCUUGUAAAACACGAGCCACCGAGAUUGCACAACCAGAGACACAGAGGACACAGUCCACAGUAAAGCCUGGUGGCAGCAUGUUCCCCUGGAACACAGAGUAAGAGUGGGAAGGAAGAGACCACCAACCUGGUGGUUGGCGAACAGGAGGAAGCUGAAAGCAGUGGUUCUGUGAGUUUCGAAGAGAGGUUCAGAACAUCCCCUCCACCAUGUGAUGGGAUGCUGACUGCGGAGCACGGACCGUGUGCCGCCACCACGUGGGCUCUGCAAAGACAGACCGGCUUAGCCUUCCCAUCUAGAGCCGUCAACACCUCUGCUCUAUGGAGGGGGAAAUGGAGGCCCAGGGAGAAAAGCACAGUGAGGCCAGUGGAGGACUUCGAGCAGAAGAUAUGUCAUGUUGGCAUAAAAUUCUAUGGACAAAGUGGUGUGAAAAUACAAGGCAAAGGAGAAAACA